rnacentral:rRNA from 1 species
CAGCCGUAAACUAUGCGCGUUAGGUGUAUCGGUGACCACGAGUUACCGAGGUGCCGAAGGGUAACCGUGAAACGUGCCGCCUGGGAAGUACGGUCGCAAGGCUGAAACUUAAAGGAAUUGGCGGGGGAGCACCACAACAGGUGGAGCCUGCGGUUUAAUUGGACUCAACGCCGGGAAGCUCACCGGAUAAGACAGCGGAAUGAUUGCCGGGCUGAAGACUCUGCAUGACUAGCUGAGAGGAGGUGCAUGGCGUAGACGUCU